rnacentral:rRNA from 1 species
AUGGAGGAUGGAGGAGGGGGUAGAAUGCAUGAAGAAGGCGAUGCAACGCGCACAUCAAGCAGCAAUUCAGCAUACCCAAACAUCAUGGGGACAGGUGCUCGGGCAAUCAGCGCAAACAACAACUUGCCCAGUGGUGGAACAAGUGCACAUAGUGCUGGAACAAAUGCAAGCACAGGAGCUGGGAGCCUUGGAGAGCAGACAAUAAAUGAACCAGCAACUCCAGAAUCUGCUGGGAUCGAUGCUGAUAUGGAAGGCAGCAACAUGGAGGCAUAUUCCACACCCAAGCCACCUUUGCAAGGGACAAAAUUUGAUACCAUGGAGAGCGCAUGUGACCACUACAGCACCUACACGCGCAGAACUGGCUUUGCAAUUAGGCAGCAAUUCAAGAAAGAGAGGGUUGAUGGAACUAUAAGCAGGGUGCUACUAGUUUGUACAAAAUAUGGCAAACGACACAAGGACAGGGAUGAGCUGCAAGAUGUGGAAAACCCAGACAACAUUGUCAAGAAGAGGAAAAAAAGAAAGUUGUUAGGACUGAAUGUGAAGCGCACAUGUACCUAUCCCACGAUGAUGCAUGGUGGACUGUUGACCGUUUUGAGGACACCCACAAUCACCCCCUGA